rnacentral:tRNA from 1 species
AAGGAAGAAGCAGAUUAUGGUUUUGCUGGUGGCUUGAAAUCACUAUAAGGGGGUUCAAUUCCUCCCUUCCUUG